rnacentral:rRNA from 1 species
UACGGAGGGGGGCUAGCGUUGUUCGGAAUUACUGGGCGUAAAGCGCACGUAGGCGGCUUUGUAAGUUAGAGGUGAAAGCCCGGGGCUCAACUCCGGAAUUGCCUUUAAGACUGCAUCGCUAGAGUUGUGGAGAGGUAAGUGGAAUUCCGAGUGUAGAGGUGAAAUUCGUAGAUAUUCGGAAGAACACCAGUGGCGAAGGCGACUUACUGGACACAUAUUGACGCUGAGGUGCGAAAGCGUGGGGAGCAAACAGG